CCUGAGCGAGUGCAGACACCUCCUUAUUGGCUCAACAGAUCACAGAUGGGUAUUUACGGGAAACCAGCUCCAGAGGACUUUGCAGCAGACACUGAGCACUGGAAGAAGGUGGUGAGCAAGACAUAUAUGAGCGGAUUGGGAAUUAGCUGGUCCAACGUGAGAAAUAUUAUGGACAUGAGAGCAGUUUAUGGAGGGUAAACAAUGAUCUCAUUGCUUAUUACAGAUUUAUGAGCAAAACCUGAUAUCAAAAUAAUGCUUACAGAUUUGCUGCUGCACUCAAGGACCUGAAAGUAUGGGUGAUGAAUGUGGUGAACUUAGAUUCUCCAGAUACACUUCCCAUAAUCUAUGAACGCGGUCUUUUUGGGAUAUAUCAUGACUGGUGUGAAGCAUUCAGCACCUACCCCAGGACAUAUGACCUCCUGCAUGCGGAUCAUCUUUUCUCCAGACUGAAAAAGAGGUAGCAGUACAAGUUUAUACUGUUAACAGUAACACUAGGAAGUGUAACAUUUUAUUUUCAUCCCACUUGCAGGUGCAAACUUGUGCCUGUGAUGGCAGAGGUUGAUAGAAUAGUUAGACCUGGAGGUAAAUUGAUUGUGCGCGAUGAAUCCAGCACCAUUGGGGAAGUGGAGAACUUGUUGAAGUCUCUGCAUUGGGAGGUCCAUUUAACAUUCUCCAAAAACCAAGAAGGGAUGCUAAGUGCUCAGAAAUCCGACUGGAGGCCAGA
rnacentral:lncRNA from 1 species